rnacentral:rRNA from 1 species
GUUUUGAUGACGACCGGCGGACGGGUGCGUAACGCGUAUGAAACUUACCUGGAACAGGGGGAUAGCCCGUGGAAACAUGGAUUAAUACCCCAUAACAUAUUUUAUGGCCUCAUAAGAUAUUGAAAGAUUUAUUGGUUUCAGAUGGUCAUGCGUAUGAUUAGUUAGUUGGUAAGGUAACGGCUUACCAAGACGAUGAUCAUUAGGGGGUCUGAGAGGAUGAUCCCCCACACUGGCACUGAGAUACGGGCCAGACUCCUACGGGAGGCAGCAGUAGGGAAUAUUGGUCAAUGGGGGCAACCCUGAACCAGCCAUGCCGCGUGCAGGAAGACAGCCUUCUGGGUUGUAAACUGCUUUUGACAGGGAAGAAAGUGAGCUUUGCGAAGCUUUUUGACGGUACCUGUAGAAUAAGCACCGGCUAACUCCGCGCCAGCAGCCGCGGUAAUACGGAGGGUGCAAGCGUUGUCCGGAUUUAUUGGGUUUAAAGGGUGCGUAGGCGGAUAAAUAAGUCAGUGGUGAAAUACUGCAGCUCAACUGUAGAGGUGCCAUUGAAACUGUAUAUCUUGAGUGAAGUCGAAGUAGGCGGAAUUGAUGGUGUAGCGGUGAAAUGCAUAGAUAUCAUCAAGAACACCGAUAGCGAAGGCAGCUUACUUGGUUUCAACUGACGCUGAUGCACGAAAGCGUGGGGAGCGAACAGGAUUAGAUACCCUGGUAGUCCACGCUGUAAACGAUGAUUACUCGCUGUUGGCGAUAUGUUACAGUCAGCGGCCAAGCGAAAGCGUUAAGUAAUCCACCU